CCUACGGGUGGCAGCAGUGGGGAAUAUUGCGCAAUGGGGGCAACCCUGACGCAGCAACGCCGCGUGAUUGAAGAAGGCCUUCGGGUUGUAAAGAUCUUUAAUCGGGGACGAAUUUUGACGGUACCCGAAGAAUAAGCUCCGGCUAACUACGUGCCAGCAGCCGCGGUAAUACGUAGGGAGCAAGCGUUGUCCGGAAUUACUGGGUGUAAAGGGAGCGUAGGCGGGAUGGCAAGUUGGGUGUUAAAUCUACCGGCUCAACUGGUAGUCGCACUCAAAACUGCUAUUCUUGAGGGAAGUAGAGGCAGGCGGAAUUCCGAGUGUAGCGGUGAAAUGCGUAGAUAUUAGGAGGAACACCAGUGGCGAAGGCGGCCUGCUGGGCUUUUACUGACGCUGAGGCUCGAAAGUGUGGGGAGCAAACAGGAUUAGAUACCCCUGUAGUC
rnacentral:rRNA from 1 species